ACGAGCUCUCCAAACGUUAUUCGGUAUCACUGGGCUUAAAGAGUUCGUAGGCGGCCUAGCAGGUCAGGUGUGAAAUCCCACAGCUCAACUGUGGAAUAGCGCUUGAAACCGCUGGGCUUGAGGGAGAUAGAGGUAAGCGGAACAGAUGGUGGAGCGGUGAAAUGCGUUGAUAUCAUCUGGAACACCGGUGGCGAAAGCGGCUUACUGGGUCUCUUCUGACGCUGAGGAACGAAAGCUAGGGUAGCGAACGGGAUUAGAUACCCCGGUAGUCCUAGCCGUAAACGAUGAGCACUAGUCCGUGGGAACCCUCACAUUCUCUCGGACGUAGCGAAAGUGUUAAGUGCUCCGCCUGGGGAGUAUGGUCGCAAGGCUG
rnacentral:rRNA from 1 species